rnacentral:rRNA from 1 species
CCUACGGGGGGCUGCAGUGAGGAAUAUUGGUCAAUGGACGAGAGUCUGAACCAGCCAAGUAGCGUGAAGGAUGACUGCCCUAUGGGUUGUAAACUUCUUUUAUAUGGGAAUAAAAUGUUCCACGUGUGGGAUUUUGUAUGUACCAUAUGAAUAAGGAUCGGCUAACUCCGUGCCAGCAGCCGCGGUAAUACGGAGGAUCCGAGCGUUAUCCGGAUUUAUUGGGUUUAAAGGGAGCGUAGGUGGAUUGUUAAGUCAGUUGUGAAAGUUUGCGGCUCAACCGUAAAAUUGCAGUUGAAACUGGCAGUCUUGAGUACAGUAGAGGUGGGCGGAAUUCGUGGUGUAGCGGUGAAAUGCUUAGAUAUCACGAAGAACUCCGAUUGUGAAGGCAGUUCACUGGACUGCAACUGACACUGAGGCUCGAAAGUGUGGGUAUCAAACAGGAUUAGAUACCCGAGUAGUC